UCUAGUAUAAGCAUCUAUACCGUGAAACUGCGAAUGGCUCAUUAAAUCAGUUAUCGUUCAUUUGAUAGUACCUUACUACUUGGAUAACCGUGGUAAUUCUAGAGCUAAUACAUGCUAAAAACCUCGACUUCGGAAGGGGUGUAUUUAUUAGAUAAAAAACCAAUGCCCUUCGGGGCUCUCUGGUGAUUCAUAAUAACUUAACGAAUCGCAUGGCCUUGUGCCGGCGAUGGUUCAUUCAAAUUUCUGCCCUAUCAACUUUCGAUUGUAUGGUCUUGGCUUACAAUGGUUUCAACGGGUAACGGGGAAUUAGGGUUCUAUUCCGGAGAGGGAGCCUGAGAAACGGCUACCACAUCCAAGGAAGGCAGCAGGCGCGCAAAUUACCCAAUCCCGACACGGGGAGGUAGUGACAAUAAAUACUGAUACAGGGCUCUUUUGGGUCUUGUAAUUGGAAUGAGUACAAUUUAAAUCCCUUAACGAGGAACAAUUGGAGGGCAAGUCUGGUGCCAGCAGCCGCGGUAAUUCCAGCUCCAAUAGCGUAUAUUAAAGUUGUUGCAGUUAAAAAGCUCGUAGUUGAACCUUGGGCCUGGCUGGCCGGUCCGCCUCACCGCGUGCACUGGUCCGGCCGGGCCUUUCCUCCUGGGGAGCCGCAUGCCCUUCACUGGGUGUGUCGGGGAACCAGGACUUUUACUUUGAAAAAAUUAGAGUGUUCAAAGCAGGCCUAUGCUCGAAUACAUUAGCAUGGAAUAAUAGAAUAGGACGUGUGGUUCUAUUUUGUUGGUUUCUAGGACCGCCGUAAUGAUUAAUAGGGAUAGUCGGGGGCAUCAGUAUUCAAUUGUCAGAGGUGAAAUUCUUGGAUUUAUUGAAGACUAACUACUGCGAAAGCAUUUGCCAAGGAUGUUUUCAUUAAUCAGUGAACGAAAGUUAGGGGAUCGAAGACGAUCAGAUACCGUCGUAGUCUUAACCAUAAACUAUGCCGAC
rnacentral:rRNA from 1 species